UCCUGGUGUUCGCCCAGCUUCCCGGGUGGCGGUCAUGAGCCGAAGCGAGGCGGCUGGGGUCACCCCUAUUCGUACUAGCCCAGCCCGCACACCUCCAGCCCUUCUGCGAGGCUUGCAUCCCAAGAACAGGCAGCCAAGAAACUCGAGUGGCAUUGGCUUCUGCAGGGGGCUUCACAGGGCUUUUCAAGACGAUGAUCUGGUUUGGAGAGUGUUAACCUUGCAUGUCCCAACCUAGAGGCUCUUGCUCCAUUUCCAAACCUGGAGUCCAGUGCAGGACUGAACACAAAGCCAACCGGGCCCUCAAACUUAACACCUUUGCCUCCUCCCUGACCCCACUCCCAGCAGGAACAACAACAAAGUCUCAGCAAACGCCUCUCAUGAAGGGAGAGCCUGGCUCCAGCCGACUCUUCAGGAAAACCUGGGACGGAAGACAUCCUCUUGCUGUGAUGUGAACUCUUAGACGGUUCUCUUGUUACAACGGAAAAAUAAAUGAAAACCGUGUUUCAUUAGAGA